AUCGAACGCUGGCGGCGUGGCUAAGGCAUGCAAGUCGAGCGGACUCUGCCAAGGGGUAACCCGAGGCUUAGUUAGCGGCGAACGGGUGAGGAAUACGUGGAUAACGUGCCCUGGACACGGGGAUAGCGGCGGGGGCAACCCCUUUGCGAAAGCGCCGGUAAUACCCGAUGACCCCGCGGGAUCACAUGGUCCUGCGGGCAAAGGCUCAGGCGGUCUGGGAUCGGUUCACGUCCUAUCAGCUAGUUGGUAGGGUAACGGCCUACCAAGGCAACGACGGGUAGCGGGCGUGAGGAGCGUGACCCGCCACAUCGGGACUGAGACACGGCCCGGACACCUACGGGUGCUGCAGCAACGAAUAUUCCGCAAUGGACGCAAGUCUGACGGANCGACGCCGCGUGCAGGAUGAAGUCC
rnacentral:rRNA from 1 species